CCUACGGGUGGCAGCAGUGGGGAAUAUUGGGCAAUGGGCGAAAGCCUGACCCAGCAACGCCGCGUGAAGGAAGAAGGCUUUCGGGUUGUAAACUUCUUUUGACAGGGAAGAGCAGAAGACGGUACCUGUCGAAUAAGCCACGGCUAACUACGUGCCAGCAGCCGCGGUAAUACGUAGGUGGCAAGCGUUGUCCGGAUUUACUGGGUGUAAAGGGCGUGUAGCCGGGCUGACAAGUCAGAUGUGAAAUCCGGGGGCUCAACCCCCGAACUGCAUUUGAAACUGUUGGUCUUGAGUAUCGGAGAGGCAGGCGGAAUUCCUAGUGUAGCGGUGAAAUGCGUAGAUAUAUGGAAGAACACCAGUGGCGAAGGCGACUGGCUGGUCUGCAACUGACGCUGAGGCUCGAAAGCAUGGGUAGCGAACAGGAUUAGAUACCCCUGUAGUC
rnacentral:rRNA from 1 species